UUCUUUACUUCCUUUUACUGGCUAUGGUAGCAAGAGUUUCAGGGUGUGUAUGUGCUCAGUUGCUUCUGUCACAUCCCAAGGAUGGGAAGCAAAAGUCUGUAGUUCUGAGGGCCAACCCUGGAAAGAGGAAAGGCAUGGAGGAAGAAAGAGAGAGAGUUGGAGGACUGUCGGCACCAGCCCCUACACUGAGCUAGUCCUCAACAGCACGAUUUCUAGAGUUCCGCUGGACUCAGGCCCCAUAGCCCCAGGAGGAUGCUGAGUCACGAUCCCUGGCCCCUGGGAUAAGAGAGCUCCUCAGGCCACAGCAACCAACAGGCCAGGGAAGACCUCUGUCCUUGGGCAUGAGGAAUCUCUUAAGACAGAGAGGCCAAGAUUCCCCUGGAGCAUGGACAGAGUUUUUCCCAUCCACAUUGGGAAUUGUCUUCCCGCGGCCUGCCUCUGAGAGGUUUGGGGAGGUGGCAGCUGAGACUCGACAAGCUCUGUGUCCAUCCAGGUAAGAAGGGGUACAAGGGGACCUGAGUGGGCUUGUGAAUUCCAAGUGAGCUGAGAUGGCUGCAAGGAUGAGCCAUCUCCCGGAAUAGGAUGUGGUAAGGAACAUUGUGCUGAAUUUUCAUCUGGAGGGCUAUUUUCUCCACAUCAUCACUUCUGCUCACGCAUUCCCCGAGAUGCCUCUAACGAAAUCAUCUUCCCUCUCUCAUCUGCAGCUUCUAAGUCUUGAAGUCACCUGGCACCAGCACCUCCUGGGCUGUGUCACCACCUCCCCCUUUUCACCCAGGAUGAGCUCAAUCAGCACCAAGCUGACCUGAACCUCCAGGCUACAGGAGGUUUCCCUCGAUGGUCUUCUUCACCCGGCAUGGACCGGCCCUCCAUCCAAGGACGGUUCUCCAGUGCCUUAUCCUCUCUUCUAAAUAGGUGUUUUCUUCCCAGCCCUUCCCCCCACCAAACUCCUUAUUACUUCUUUGUUUUUUAAAAUCUACAAUUUUUUCCCCCUGGGAAAGAUUCACCCUGAGCUAACAUCUAUUGUCAAUCUUCCUCUAUUUUUUAGUAUGUGAGCCACCAGCACAGCAUUGCUGCUAACAGAGUCGUGUGGGUCCAUACCUGGGAACUGAACCCAGGCUGCUGAAGCAGAUCACGCUGAACUUAACCACUAGGCCACUGGGGCUGGUCCCUUCCUCUCUUUUUUUUUUCCCACCCCAAAGCCCAGUACAUAGUUGUAUGUUGUAGUUGUAGCUCCUCCUAGUUCUUCUGUGUGAGCCGCUGCCACAGCAUGACUACUGACAGAUGAGUGGUGUGGUUCUGGGCCCGGGAACCAAACCUGGGCCACCAAAGCAGAGUGUGCCAAACUUUAACCACUAAGCCAUCAGGGCUGGCUCCCACCAAACUCUUGAUAAUUUACAUCACAACCCAAAUGGUUUUUGCUACAGUUAGCAGAUCAUUGAUGUCAUCUUCCCAGGGAUGCAACAAUCUUGCUUCUCAUCAGCUCCCACCUCCCACCUAGCCCCAGCCCCUCUUCCCCAGAGUCCUUGUUCCCCUUCGGUGAACCCAAUUUAGCUGAGACACAUCAGGGGGUGCCAAUGGUCUGUGAAUUAUGGUGAGUUUCCUAAAGGUUAUGGGAGUUGAACGGGAAUUUCCCUAACAUAAUCGAAAGGAAUUAUGAACACAUUUUAAUAUAAUAAAAGCAGAUUUGUGUAAUGUGUAAUGUGUCUGUUUCUUGCCCCAGGGAAGGCCUGGCUGGCUGGAGCUCUGCCUUCCCUCCCUGACCCUUUUUCUCCCAUCUUCAUCCUGUAGUUUGUCAUGGUAACCAGUAGGUGGCUGCAAUUAUACAUACCCGCACAUGUGUGCGCACACACACACACACACACACACUCUCUCUCUCUCUCUCUCCAAGCUAUUCAUUUUCAUUUACAAAGUUGCCAAAAAUAAAUGAAUGAGUG
ensembl:lncRNA